GAAGAACCAUUUUGUUCGGUGCUCUAUUACCAUAUGGUGUUUCUAUUAAGACCAAGUGUUUAUCAAAAUUCCAAGGUCCCCCUCAUAUCACCAUCUCCUUGUCCGGCAUAGUUGUGAAUGUGAAUAAGAAAAGAUUAUCUCGCAGAUCUUUCACACCCACCUCUCUCAUCGUACCCCAGGCCCUCAACAUGGUUUGUGAAACCUUGAUCAGUGAGUAUAGUCC
rnacentral:lncRNA from 1 species